CAGGACGAACGCUGGCGGCGUGCUUAACACAUGCAAGUCGAACGAGGAUAUACCAGAGGAGAGCUUCGGCAGGAAUCGGGAAUAUUCGAGUGGCGGACGGGUGAGUAACGCGUGAGCAACCUGUCCCAGACAGGGGGAUAACACUUGGAAACAGGUGCUAAUACCGCAUAAGACCACGGUAUCACAUGGUAGUGGGGUAAAAGGAGCAAUCCGGUUUGGGGUGGGCUCGCGUCCGAUUAGAUAGUUGGUGAGGUAACGGCCCACCAAGUCGACGAUCGGUAGCCGACCUGAGAGGGUGAUCGGCCACAUUGGAACUGAGAGACGGUCCAAACUCCUACGGGAGGCAGCAGUGGGGAAUAUUGGGCAAUGGGCGAAAGCCUGAACCCCAGCAACGCCGCGUGAGUGAAGAAGGCCUUCGGGUUGUAAAGCUCUGUUAUAGUUGACGAAGGAAGUGACGGUAGGCUAUAAGGAAGCCCCGGCUAACUACGUGCCAGCAGCAGC
rnacentral:rRNA from 1 species